AACCUGCCCAAGAGAUCGGGAUAACACCUGGAAACAGAUGCUAAUACCGGAUAACAACAGAUGAUGCCUAUCAACUGUUUAAAAGAUGGUUCUGCUAUCACUCUUGGAUGGACCUGCGGUGCAUUAGCUAGUUGGUAGGGUAACGGCCUACCAAGGCGAUGAUGCAUAGCCGAGUCGAGAGACUGAUCGGCCACAUUGGGACUGAGACACGGCCCAAACUCCUACGGGAGGCAGCAGAC
rnacentral:rRNA from 1 species